rnacentral:rRNA from 1 species
UGCCAGCAGCCGCGGUAAUACGGAGAUGGCAACCGUUGUUCGGAAUCACUGGGCUUAAAGGGCACGUAGGCGGGUAAAUUAGUUGAUUGUGAAAGCCCAUGGCUUACCCAUGGAAUGGCAGUCAAAACUGACAAGCUAGAGUGCGAAAGGGGAGAGUGGAACUCCUAGUGGAGCGGUGAAAUGCGUUGAUAUUAGGAGGAACGCCGGUGGCGAAAGCGACUCUCUGGUUCGAAACUGACGCUGAGAUGCGCAAGCUAGGGGAGCAAACGGGAUUAGAUA